rnacentral:tRNA from 1 species
UUUCUUUUAGCUUAAGUUUAAAGCAUUAGUUUGAAGAGCUAGGGAUAACGUAUGUUGAAGAGGC